rnacentral:lncRNA from 1 species
GUCAGGGGGCCGGAAGGGGGUGUGGCUUCACGCCAGCCAUCGUCCUGAGGAAGGGGUAGAUGAGUGGAGAAUUCAACGGCAAGAUGGGAAACCAGGCAAAGAGCUGGGGGGGCCCAGACCAGACCCCAGGUGAGGUCAGGGACAGCAGGAAGUUGAGGGGCACAGGUGCAGAGGGAUGCAGAUUCCACCAGGACUGGGGGUUCCUGACCGGUAGGGCUGCAGGGACAAGGGACAGGAGAGUCGAGGCAGGGCCAGGAGUGACACCCCUGAGGUCCCAGCUGAAGCUGAGGCUGGUGAAGGGGUGGAAAUCGAGGCCCCACAGAGUGUGUGACCCACGGGGACUGGGGAGUCUGACCACUCUAGAAGGACAGGAGCCCUGAGGGGCCGGAGAUGGUG